AGAGUUUGAUCAUGGCUCAGGAUGAACGCUAGCGGCGCGCUUAAUGCAUGCAAGUCGAGCGAUGAGGCCCCUACGGGGGUACAUCAGCGGCAGACGGGUGAGUAACACGUAGGCAACCUGCCCUUCAGACGGGGAUAACAGUUGGAAACGGCUGCUAAUACCCGAUAGGUACCCGGGGUUAUCGAGAUUCGGGGUAUAAAGUUACGGCGCUGAAGGAGGGGCCUGCGGCCCAUCAGUUAGUUGGUGAGGUAACGGCUCACCAAGACGAAGACGGGUAGGGGGUGUGAGAGCAUGGCCCCCCACAAUGGGACUGAGAUACGGCCCAUACUCCUACGGGAGGCAGCAGCAGGGAAUCUUGCACAAUGGACGGAAGUCUGAUGCAGCGACGCCGCGUGAAUGAAGAAGGCCUUCGGGUUGUAAAAUUCUUUUCUGGGGGAAGAGGAAGGACGGUACCCCAGGAAUAAGUGUCGGCUAACUACGUGCCAGCAGCCGCGGUAAUACGUAGGACACGAGCGUUAUCCGGAUUUACUGGGCGUAAAGCGUCUGUAGGCGGUGCGGCAAGUCGGCUGUGAAAGCCCCAGGCUCAACCUGGGGAGGCCAGUCGAUACUGCUGGACUUGAGGGCGAGAGAGGGGAGUGGAAUUCCCGGAGUAGCGGUAAAAUGCGCAGAUAUCGGGAGGAACACCAGUGGCGAAGGCGGCU
rnacentral:rRNA from 1 species